rnacentral:rRNA from 1 species
UGAGGGUUGAUAGGUUAAGAGCUGAUGAACUGGACGUUACCCACAGAAGAAGCACCGGCUAACUCCGUGCCAGCAGCCGCGGUAAUACGGAGGGUGCGAGCGUUAAUCGGAAUUACUGGGCGUAAAGGGUGCGUAGGUGGUUUAAUAAGUUAGCUGUGAAAUCCCUGGGCUUAACCUGGGCAGGUCAGCUAAGACUGUUAGACUAGAGUAUAGGAGAGGGUAGUGGAAUUUCCGGUGUAGCGGUGAAAUGCGUAGAGAUCGGAAGGAACACCAGUGGCGAAGGCGUCUACCUGGCCGGAUACUGACACUGAGGCACGAAAGCGUGGGGAGCAAACAGGAUUAGAUACCCUGGUAGUCCACGCUGUAAACGAUGUCAACUAGCUGUUGGUCAUAUGAAGAUGAUUAGUGGCGCAGCAAACGCGAUAAGUUGACC